rnacentral:rRNA from 1 species
CCGGCGUACGGGUGCGUAACGCGUAUACAAUCUGCCUUUCACUGGGGGAUAGCCCGAAGAAAUUUGGAUUAAUACCCCAUAGAAUAAUGAUGUGGCAUCAUAUUAUUAUUAAAGCUACGGUGGUGAAAGAUGAGUAUGCGUUCUAUUAGCUAGUUGGAGAGGUAACGGCUCCCCAAGGCAACGAUAGAUAGGGGUUCUGAGAGGGAUGUCCCCCACACUGGUACUGAGAUACGGACCAG